UUUCCGUAGGUGAACCUGCGGAAGGAUCAUUAUUGUAUAACCGAGAUGCGAGGGCUGUCGCUGACCCGAAAGGUCGUGCACGCCCGAGUGCCCUCACACACAUCCAUCUCACCCCUAUGUGCACCACCGCGUGGGUCACCCUUUGGCUUGUUCGGAGGGGGGCUUACGUUUUCACACAAACUUUGUAUGCAGUGUAGAAUGUAUUUUUUGUUUUUGCGCUCACGCAAUCAAUACAACUUUCAACAACGGAUCUCUUGGCUCUC
rnacentral:misc_RNA from 1 species